rnacentral:misc_RNA from 1 species
UUUUAAAAACAAAAACUGAACCAGGAGCUCUCUCUUAUUAUUAAAACAGUAUCAUUCUUGAACAACAUGACUUAAAACAAGAUCUCCACAAUUCACUUCCAGGGAAAGGGAUUAAAGUUUUAACCAACAAAGAGACCAUUAAUUAUUCCGAAUUUUUGCACCAACAAGAAUACGAGGUGUGACCAUACAGUGUCUGCAAUUCACGGAAAAGAUAGUUUAAAACUAGUUUAACAAAUUCUACACUUUACGAGCCAAUGUCCUCUGUUUAGUAGCAUGCUGGACUACUUUCUCCUCCACAGGCAAGCCCUUCCGUCGCCUUACGGCAUUGAUGAGCUUUCUUGCUGUAUUAGGUAGAACGCUGGAACCAUCUCCAAACUCUUCAAUUUCCUCUUCUGUUUUUGGUACAAAGAAAGGAUCCUCGGGAAGUGCUUCCCAAUGGCUAAGAACAAGGAGAGCACUUGCAGCUCCUGAAGUCCAUCUUCUAAGCUCAUCAGCAAAACCAAAGCUCUCAGAAACUGGGACAUAUGCGUGAACUGUGAAAAGUGGAGAUCCUUCUUGCAUCUCCUCCUUCAAGACCCGAGCCCGUUUCCGAUUAAGCACUGCAUACAUGGAGCCCAAAUAUUCAGUUGGGGUGUUCAACUCGCAAAAAUACAUUGCUUCAACAAGCCGAGGUUUAUUCUGAAUUACAGCUGCUCUACAUGCAUCCUUGACAGCUGUCAUAACCUGUCCAGUGAAGAUGCCAUACUGCUCAGACUGUUGAUUAAUGUCAGACUCAUCAGACUGCUCAGCUAACGGAGAUAUGUAAACAUCAACCACAAAUGCCACUCCCCACAUUUGUUCAUCACAUAAAGGUCCAGCUGCUGUUGCAAGUUGGAAUCCAGACACUACGCUGUUCUGAAGACUCUCUGCUUCCAUGUCUAAUGCUUGAGUUUCUUCAGAGGAUGUGUCGGCAGGUGUAUCACCAUCACUGUAAUUAUCAACUAAGCCUAAUCUUUCAGAUACAUGAGGAGAACCCCGUACAAGAACAGAUAAAUCAUUGCUCUUGCUUUUCAAAUCUGAAGUGAAGAGGAUAUUAGGGCCAACCUGUCCUGGACCAAGUGCCCAAAUCCUCCUAAGAAAUUUUUGCCACUUAAGUUUGUAUUUUUCAGCCCGAUCCUUGUCAGUCUCACUCCAUGACAAUAUUUCACUUUCGACAGCAUCCAUUAUGUGUUUUUUGAUUCCUUCAACUGAACUCUCAUCUUGUAAAAUGCUUGAACCCUGCUUUUGCACAUCUCUAUUUGUCUGCCCCAGCUUCCCGCCAAUGAUAUCUCCAAGAAUAUCGGCACUUUCAUCCAGCACCUUGGUUAGUGCAGGUGGAAGUCUCAUGACUUGCACACGAACAUCACACCUUCCAUUUGGUGUUGUCUUCUCCACAUAAUCUGAGCCCCUUCUCAGUGAUUUCAGAUUAUCUAAAGCAUUGGAAGUGUGCCCCUCGAUGGUCUCCUUAUAGGACACAAGAGGUGGAGAGACUUCCAGGCUCACCUUUGCAAAUCUCUCCUUCAAAUCCUUGAUGCACCUUUCUAGGUGAACUUCUCCAGCAGCAGCAAGCACAUGCUCCCCUCUAGAAGAAACAGUUACUUCAACAAAUGGAUCUGCCCGGUUCAGAAGCCUCAGACCCUUCAUCAGGGCAGUCAUAUCUGCUGGAUCAGAUGGCUCAAUUGCAACUCUUAAAGUUGGGGAAACCUGGAAUGCCAUGCUAGAGAAAGGCCAACAGUUUCUUGUGGAUGAAAGAGUUGCACUUUUUAAAAUAUGUUGGCCGAGGCCUCGGAUUGCCACAACAUCCCCUGCUUUUGCAGAGGCUACUGGUUUCAAGCCUUGACCCAUCAUGAGAUACAAUGAGUGCAACUCAGCAUCCUGCACAUGCUUCUGCAUUGACUCUCCCCUCAACGGGUCAUAUAAUGCUGAAAGCACAAAGACUCUUUGUUGUGAAUAAAGAACCCCACUAAAAAUUCUUGCAAAUGCAAGGAAGCACUCAUCUGACUCACUGCUUCCAUUUUCAUCACUGUAAUUAUUCAAAAUCUCUCCAUUUGGUCCCCUUUGAGGUAGCAUCUUUGUUGGUACUGCAAACAUUUUGGAUACAAAGGCAACAGAAGGUGCUUCAGGGCUGGAAUCACAAAUCUCAACUGACUUUCUUACAAGAUCUGCCUCUGCAAUAAUACUUGAGUCAACUGCAUCAUACAAAACCUCUCUCUUGGGAAGCAAACGUGAAAUUCGAAAAGACUGGGCAGCAAUUGGAUCUGGUAUGCACUUCACAACCAUUGACAAAAUUGCAUCAGACAAGGGAAGCCAGCGGCUCACAACAGCUUGAAGCACAAUCUUUGGAUCCUUAUUCUGAAGUUCACGAGGUGGCACAUGCAAAUUAAAAGACUUAAUGACUUUCUCAAGUAAACCUUUAUUUCCAUCAGGCUCUAAGGCUGACUGGUAAACCUGCCACAGUGGCUCAAGCACAAACUGCACAAACAUAGGCCGAGCCUUACUUCCUCCUUCCACUCCCUUCUUCCCCACAAUCAUCUUAGUCUUGGGAUUGAAAUACUUAGGACCCCACAAAGCCUUCUGCAAUGCAGCUGAACUAGCUCCAAGCUUUGAAGCAUAAAAUUCGGCAAACUCACUAAUACCAAAACCCCAUCCAUCCAAUGCACACACAAAUGCCACAUUCCCCUUCUGUGGUUGAAAGGUAUCCUCUUCAUCAUCCUCUAUAAACUCAAGAUUCUCAUAAUCCACUUCACCAGAUGGCCCCGCAAGUAAUGAGUCAACAUCAGAAAGAUAUUUCUCAGACUUAUAUGUACUCAUGAUCCCAUUCACCUCAUGAACAAUCCUCAGCAACCGGUUAUAUGCUUCCAUGGGACUCAACUUCAACUCAUAAAUCAACCUAUCAAUCUUAUUAAGCACUAAACAUGGUGUGAGCUUCUCAAUCCAAGAUUGACGCAAAACAGCAUGCGUCUGUAUAUGAAUCCCCUCAACAGCAUCAACCAAAAUCAAUGCCCCAUCACUCAAUCUGGCUGCAGUAGAAACCUCACUACAAAAAUCCAUAUGACCAGGGGAGUCUAUGAGGUUUAUUGAAUAAUCUUUAUAAUGUAGAGCAAUUGAAGAGCUCUUCAUUGUUAUUGCACGCCUCUGUUCCUCAUCAAGAUAAUCCAUAAACCUAAGCUUCCCUGCCAUUUUCGGGUGAAGCAGACCACCACCAGUAGCAGCAAUCAGGUGGUCGGCAAGUGUUGUCUUGCCAUGAUCAACAUGAGCUAAUAUGCAUAUAUUUCGGAUUUUGUGGGCAUCAAAAUCACCCAUUUUGCCAAAACUGUGUAUAAAAGUAACUACAACAACAAACAAACAGGCCUGCCCAAUUAAACAAAAAACCAAUUUGGCAACUUCUCUGCAGAAACCAAAAAAUCGUUGAAAUGGCAAUAUAUCCCAAUAGUAGCUAUAUGAGGAAAAUUGAGUGUAUAAAAGGGAGAGGGUUUUGAUGUCUGUUGGGUUCUUUUCUGUGGAGGAUAGGGCAGACCCUUGAUGUGGUUUUCUUGAUUUCUCUAUACAAUCUUGACUGGGUAUUUGAAAGCAUAAUAAACAUAUCUAACAGAGAGGUAGACAAAGCG